rnacentral:rRNA from 1 species
AUUGAACGCUGGCGGCAGGCCUAACACAUGCAAGUCGAGCGGUUGAGGGGAGCUUGCUUCCUGAUUCAGCGGCGGACGGGUGAGUAAUGCCUAGGAAUCUGCCUAUUAGUGGGGGACAACGUUUCGAAAGGGACGCUAAUACCGCAUACGUCCUACGGGAGAAAGCAGGGGACCGUCGCGCCUUGCGCUAAUAGAUGAGCCUAGGUCGGAUUAGCUUGUUGGUGAGGUAAUGGCUCACCAAGGCGACGAUCCGUAACUGGUCUGAGAGGAUGAUCAGUCACACUGGAACUGAGACACGGUCCAGACUCCUACGGGAGGCAGCAGUGGGGAAUAUUGGACAAUGGGCGAAAGCCUGAUCCAGCCAUGCCGCGUGUGUGAAGAAGGUCUUCGGAUUGUAAAGCACUUUAAGUUGGGAGGAAGGGUUGUAGAUUAAUACUCUGCCAUUUUGACGUUACCGACAGAAUAAGCACCGGCUAACUCUGUGCCAGCCGCCGCCGUAACAC